ensembl:misc_RNA
ACUGACAGCCUGGACACUGAAGUCCUCUAUUUGUCUGCAAAAGAAAUGCAGCUCGUGCAGAAGCAUCUUCUCCACGCUGCCACAAAGACAUGUCAACUUGACUUGGAGGAACCACCUCUAGGGAUGAAGUAGGUCAUACUUUCCUUGGUACAGUUCCUAGUUAACC